AAUUAUAUCUCAAAAAAGCCCAGUGGCCGAUAAUAAUUAGCCUACGAUACGUUCGUAGCCGAGGAACCCACAUGACAUUUCAACGUCUCCUUCCCGCGAGACGUUUCGCUGUUAGCGCCCGCUGCUAGCUUUAGCUAUACGAGUUUUCGGGUUACGUUCAUCUGCGGACUUCGAUGACAGCGACGAGUAGUGGCUAUGCUAGAAACUAAAUGCAUCUUCGAUAAGCGACCAUGCCCCCACCACUAGAAUUAGCGGUAGUCUCCAGACCUGUAUGUAUGUAAGACCGUGGUAUGCAGCACCACCGGCAACGUCUGCGUCGGUUGAUCGACACGGCGCGUGCGGUUGCAAGAUCAAUUAAAUAAAAUAAAACAGUCCAAGUCAAGUGGCGCAUUAGUUGAUGAUAUAUAUAAACCAACUUGGUGGUUGUUUGAAGACAUGAGUUUCCUGAAUCCUCACAUUGCUCAAAAAAAAAGGAGAAUCUUCUAUAACAGUUUUGAACUCUCAGUCAGAAUUAUUACAAUGUAAUUUAAAUGAGAAUGAGACUGAAGAUUUACAACUUCUCGAUAUUCAUAAUGUUUUAAAAACAACAGAUAAUAACGCAGAAAACACCUGUCCAAAUAUUCAAUCACAGCCAACAACUAGUAAUUCGAGUUCACCAAGCAGUGCUACAUGAAUAUCUAAAAAAAAAAAAGAAAACUUGCAGUUUCAAAUGAAAUUUGUACAAGUGAAGCAAAUAAUUUUUGGUCAAUAGCUUCCAAAUCGAUUCAGUCCAUAUCAGAAAAUGAAAGAGCAGAAGAUGGUAUAAAACACUGGAUUUUGUAUGUAGAAAGUGAAUUGCGUAAAAUUUCAGACCCAAAGAAACUGAAACGAAUACAGAGAAAAAUGAUGAACUUAAUUGAUGAUGAUUAAUAUAUAGUUUAUUAACUUUAGCAUAACAGCCAGAAAGUGGCUGAUGAUGAUUAAUAGAGAGAUAGAAUAAACGAUUUUGUGCCGGUAUGUUUAAUAUACAUUUAUGUAGCUCAGAUUUUUUAUUAGAUUGUAGUCGGUAAAUUUCGUUCAUUAACUUUUAAUUACGAAUUUUAUUUUUGU